GACGAACGCUGGCGGCGUGCUUAACACAUGCAAGUCGAACGGUGAAGCGCCUUCCUUUUUGGUGGGUGUGGAUGAGUGGCGAACGGGUGAGUAACACGUGAGUAACCUGCCCCCUUCUUCUGGAUAACCGCAUGAAAGUGUGGCUAAUACGGGAUAUUCUGGGUCUGUCGCAUGAUGGGUCUGGGAAAGAUAUUGUUUCGGUGGGGGAUGGGCUCGCGGCCUAUCAGCUUGUUGGUGGGGUGUUGGCCUACCAAGGCGGUGACGGGUAGCCGGCCUGAGAGGGUGGACGGUCACACUGGGACUGAGACACGGCCCAGACUCCUACGGGAGGCAGCAGUGGGGAAUAUUGCACAAUGGGCGCAAGCCUGAUGCAGCGACGCCGCGUGAGGGAUGGAGGCCUUCGGGUUGUGAACCUCUUUCGCCAGUGAAGCAGGCCUGCCUCGUUUGUGGGUGGGUUGACGGUAGCUGGAUAAGAAGCGCCGGCUAACUACGU
rnacentral:rRNA from 1 species